CCGAGUUAUACAACUCAUCAACCCUGUGAACAUACCUAUAACGUUGCCUCGGCGGGAACAGACGGCCCCGUAACACGGGCCGUCCCCGCCAGAGGACCCCCUAACUCUGUUUCUAUAAUGUUUCUUCUGAGUAAACAAGCAAAUAAAUUA
rnacentral:misc_RNA from 1 species